AAACUUGUCUCGGAAUGAAUUGGUCAGCUAAUCAAAGCUUUCGACCGAUCCCACCAAGAACCAUUGAUAUCAUUUUUGAGCAAGCCCUGUUAGGGUGGUCGGAAAAACUUUGCAUAUCUAAAAUGGGCAAUUUAAAUUUUGGUAGAAAAAUUUCAGCUAGUAUCGUCUCACAAAGAGGAGACCUAUCACCUAUGCCAAAACCAUCAUCAUUGAGAUGCUUUUGGUACUUUUUGAUUGCCUGGGCAAUCUUUUGACUCAACACAGUAUCCUCAAUAUUCGAUUCCUCCUCUUUAGAGUAUUCCUAUUUUGAUUUGCCUUUACUGUCUCCAUAUCUAUCUUCCUGAGGAUGUUUCCCAGGAAGCAUCAUUGGCGGAAGUGGAGGGGGAAGUGGUGGUGCUGGAGUUGUUGGUGCACUUCCUUUAUCGGGUUGCUCAUAUUCUUUUCUUAAAGAGUGCCAAUAUUGUCUCCAUUUCUUUAAUUUUCAAGAACAUGGGGUCUUAGGAGGAGUCUGUGUUUUUUCCUACUGGAAUUUCCUGAUUAUGGACCACUAAUGGAGCUUUUCUCCCCUCAGUCCAAGUCUCCACAUUGUCAGCUAUAGCCUCUGAUCUUGCCCUUCCAGAAUGCAUUCCUGUCUUAGCCAUUGGAGAUUAACAAAACUAGUUAACAAAAAGGACAAAACCCGAAAAACCCAAGAAAACCAGCAACAAAAAUGAAAUGAUCAAAAAUGAAAAUUUUAUUCCCACAGCGUCACUGAUGUUGCCUGGAAUCCUUAGGUAAGAACUUGAUUAGAUGGUGCCUGAAAUCAAAGAGAAAAGAUGAGGUCAGUGGCUUGAGUUAGGCCACUUUGACGCUCAAGUCAGCAAAUGCCAAGAAAGCAAAUACAAUCAAAAAGUAAGAGAAUUUUGUACUUUCCAUAUUAUUGUGACCCUUAUUUAUAGUGGAGGAAAGUACCUCUUCUGGAUUAAUCGGGAUUUUAUGCUAACCAUAGUUAUCAAGGCGCUAAGAUGUUCUGGUGCCUAAGCACAAAGCGCAAGGCGUAGGCGUGCGCCAAAGCUAGGCAAGGGGCAAAAGUAAAAGAAAAUAUUGAAAAUUUAAAAAACUAUAAAUAUGCUAUCACGUCUCAAGUAACAUAAAACUACAUA
rnacentral:misc_RNA from 1 species